AGAAGGCUGUGGGCAAGAGGACAGUUGUCAUAACACAGUUGGGCAAGGGUAAGGCGGUAGCCAGGCUGCUAGGUUUCUGGGCAUACUUCCUCUCAGUCUGGACAAGGAAGGUCCUGUGCUGUGGGGUGAAGGUGCUACCGUAGUGCUCGGGGAGCAGCAAGGCCUGUGCCCAGAACCUUGUCCCAGUUGCUCUUCCAAGAGGGGAAGAAUUCUCCGUGAUGUGAGUCUUUGGCAACUCCCAGGGGGUCCUGGCCUAGCCCCCACCCUUGGGGUCCAAGGGGGAAGGGGAAACCACUUGGAGAGGGUGAUACACUUUUGUCAGGAACCUGCUAAGUGCUUGGUAUAUUUAUUUCCCUUCAAUCCUCCCACAGCCCUGCAAAGUAGGCUUCUUAUUUAUUCCUAGUUACAAAUGUGAAAGCCAAGGCACAGAGAAGUGAGGUGACUUAUACACGGUCACACAGCAAGUAAAUAAAGAAUGGCACCAGGUCUGUCUUCUGUGGGCUGUGCUUUCACCGCAGCAGGGCCGCCCGUGUUCUGAGAGGCUACAGGUGGUACACACAUAGCAUGACUGGUGACGGGUCCCCAAGGGGUAGUGCGGUGUCAAGGUAGGUGGGGUGUCAGGGUGGGUGGGGCAUGUUCCCAGUGGCCAGUUGGGCAGGUCCUGGGCCUGGGGGCCUGGGUGGAAUGGCCUGGCAUCAGGGCACAAGUGAUCCACUAAUGGGUGGCAUUCUGCACCAUGAGCUUCAGAGGAGUCAAAAGCCCAGGGCCUAUAGAGGGGAGGCUUUGCUGCCCUGGAGGCCUGCUCAGAUUGGGCUGUAGAAGGGAUCACCCCAGAAAGAAGGCCCGUAAACCAGGCUCUGGUUCUGGAAGCCCCUUUCAUCCUCCUAUAAGUAAAGAAAUCGAUCACCAUCCUCUUCCCUUUCUUCUUGGUCAGUUUCUGACUAUUCUCUCACCCCAUUCCUAGUUUCUUCCCACCUAUGCCUCCCAGCAGAGCCUGUCAGCUGGUUGUUUCGAACCUGAAGGCCACCCGAGACAUACUAGCUGUCUUUGCCCAUUAUAGGCUAUUUUUUUAAAAUAGUUAUUUAUUUACUUAUGCUAGACAUAGAGAGAGAGAGAGAGAGAGAGGCAGAGACACAAGAGGAAGAAGCAGGCUCCAUGCAGGGAGCCCGACGUGGGACUCGAUCCCGGGACUCCAGGAUCGCGCCCUGGGCCAAAAGCAGGUGCCAAACUGCUGAGCCACCCAGGGAUCCCCUAUAGGCUAUUUUUGUAGUGGUCGGGGACCUGCGUUCCUAUUCAGGCCAGCCUAAUGCUCUUGCCUCUUCCAGAGCCCACCUCUGAUGAAGUGGGCAGGAUGUGUUAGAGCCUGGGGAAGGCUGGACAGUGUGCUGUUUCUUGCAUGUUGCACCCUCUUGCCUCCUACAAGUGACUGUUGGCUUUUCAAGAGCUAAGCCUUUGGUUCCUACGACAGAGCUGAAAUUCUCUUAAGUCCUCUAAAAGGGAAGAGAUGGUGGGCGCUUAGUUCCAACUGGACCCGUUUUAGAGACAGGGUAAAGCAAAGCCAUGGGAACCAGAGCUCAGCCCCCACCCCCCACCCCCCUGACUCUUACUAGAGUCUUAGGUCUUUCAGUAGUUCUUCUCUUGGGCUUUAGGAGUCGAGCAGCUAUGACCACCCCCCACCCCAUAUUCUCCUCUCUACCCUCACCCAGCUUGACCUCUGAGGAAGUCUGGGGCUGACUCUUGCAUUCCUAUGCCACAUUAGGCCUGUGACUUCACUUGGCUUGUCAGGCGCUCAGUCUCUACAAGAUGGCUCUACACCCCACAGGUGAACACAAGGGCCAGAUGACUCUUCUCGAGGGUCUUAACUGCAUUCCCUAGUUCUUGGGACUGUUCUCGUCCACUUGGGAUUCCUUUACAUUCCAGUCCAUGGCUUGUUGUGGGCAGAAAGCACGGCAUUUAGAAAACUGGCUCUGGGUGGAGCAAAGGCUGGUCAUUCCUGGGUGUGCUGUGGGGGGCAGUGAGGCUGGCCACCUGCCAGGCCAAACAUUGGCAAGAAUUGUGCCACGGUGGAGACUCGGCAGCCCCCCUACCCACCACAGAGCUCUCUGGCUGUAGGGUGGUGGGUCGGCGUCGGGUGAGGGUUUGCCGUCUCCACCUCAGCCCCCCUGGGCCAGCUGGUUGACUGCUUACUUACCUGGAGAGUGUUCAAGGACAGCAAGAAAAAUGAGGGACUUUCAGGGGCAGCUGUGUUUUCUGACUCAGUCAUAAUGCCCCUAAAAAUCCUUAUUGUUCUUGCAGUGUGCAUCGGGCAGCAGCUGCCAACCCACCCCUUGCCUACCUGGCCACCCUGGAACAGGAAGUGCUUCCUGGGGUCACGUUGGGAUGUCCUCCCCCAUCCUCUUGAAACGAGAGUGAAUUAUUAAAACAAUUCUGUUGGGCCAAUGCAUUGAUUUGCAUAUAUGUUUACAAUUUUUUUCUUUUUUUUCUUUGGAGGAGGGUUAGGGAGGGCUGAGCAUUGAGACAGUCCUGCGCAGAUUGGAACUCAGGAGAACACAGGGCCUCCUCAGUUUGUGUGUGGUGAAGGUUUGCAGGAGGCCGGCUGCAUGGGCAGGGCCCCAGGAUGGGUGCCCUUGGGGCUGGUUAUGUCAAGAGCAGUGGUGUUGGGCUGGCGAAGAUGUCCACUGCUCCUGAGAAGUUGGAACUGUUUAGGGGCAGGAGGGGUGAAGGCACCCGGGCAGGAAACUGUACUGCAUUUUAAAACAGGGAGCCCAGCCCAAUCCCUGAGAGCCAGUGACCUGGCCAUUUUGAAAACAUGCUCCUGGUGGAUUCAAGGGCUUCUCCCCGCCAAUCCCUGCUGUACCCUUGGAGCUUGCUUUUUCUCAGCUGGGAUAGAGAACACUCUAUCCUGCUUUCACCUCCCGGGGCUCCUCCCUUCUCAGUAGGCACCCCCAUCCCCACCUCUUCCAGCCCACCCCAGACAUUUUGGCUGAGCCUUGAGUGGAUUUAGGGUUACUUGCUGGGGGACUAUCAAGAGGAAAUACCAAUUUGUGACACAUCCCUCUCAACCCAGGAAAGCCAGUUCAUAAGAAUGUUCCCAGGUCCCAAAGCAACAGUCCUUCCCCUCUAGCUGAGGCUGAGCAGGUGGCUUGCCCAUGCGUGGAUAGACAGGAAGGUGAUCAAGCAGCAAGCAGGACUGUGCCUGCUGCUGUGCUCCAUCCCAGGGCUCAUCGACAUCACAGGUCAGCAAGGGAAAUUAAUCCUCCAGCUAUUUCUUAGGUUUCCAGGCGCAGACUUGCAACUCUGGUCACUGGAGAAGAUGGCUGUCUGCAGGACCCUGACCGUGUGAUCAUCCUUCUGGCCAGCCUGGCCUCUUGCUCCUUAGGCUCUGGUCAUCCCAGCUGGGCCUCCACACCAGCUCUCCCAGAGACAGUUUUUAAAGGGCUGGGUUUGCUCAGGAGCCUCAGCAUUCUUCCACCCAGGAGAAAGGACAGCAUCAAGGUGCUCCUAUUAAGCAGCUGGAGAACUACUCCGGCUCUGUGGCCACAAGUUAGAGCUGAAGAGAUUGUUGAGGCUCUGCCUUCAGAGCCCAGUCGAGAAGAUGUGACCAUCUGCAGCUGGCAGAAUUUUACGUCCGAUGCUUUUCCCUGCUGCUCAGAGUCAUCUUUUGAUCCUCAUUUUACAGGAUGGGCUGAGGCAUGAGUGGUCUGGAUACCCACCAGAAGACACAGCUAGGGAUCCCUGGGUGGCGCAGCGGUUUAGCGCCUGCCUUUGGCCCAGGGCACGAUCCUGGAGACCCGGGAUCGAAUCCCACGUCGGGCUCCCGGUGCAUGGAGCCUGCUUCUCCCUCUGCCUAUGUCUCUGCCUCUCUCUCUCUCUCACUGUGUGCCUAUCAUAAAUAAAUAAAAAUUUAAAAAGUAAAAUAAAACAGAAGACACAGCUAGGAUGGGCAGAGCUGGGGCUGACUCCCAGGGCCAGGGCUUUCAGUAAUAAUUACUUAUAAUUAGCAUUCGGUUCUAACAAGCAUAUCCUGAUGCUUACUAAUACUUAAGCAUUUGGUCAGCCAGUAUCCGGAGGUGCGUGGGUGGGUGCUGCUGUCUCAUGGAGGAGGUAUCUGCACCACAGGGAGGCUGGGUUCCCACCCCUGGGUCUUUCUGAUGUGACUGCGCACCUGGCCAGCCUGCAUCCACAGCUACCCCCAUUCAGCCUGCCAUGUGGCCCAGGAUCCCAGUUCUGGGCCGGGCAAGAUUUAACCCCAUUUUCAGAACACACCAGAGGCGUGGCCUAGGUAACGCAGCUGUGGCUGGCAGAGGCUCCUGAUUCCCUGUUCCCUGCCUGCACAGAGGUGUCUAGGAAGGAGCACGGCCCGCGUGGGGCUUGCUCAUCUGGGCCCUGCUCUGGGCUGGCAGCCCUAGGGGUCGGGACCCCUGCUGGAGGUGCCUAGGUCUCCAGAAAGCUGUCCCUCCCCCUCCCUCUUUCCUAUGGAGCUAAUGUCCAGGAGCCUGGCCGGAGGGCCACCUGGGCAGGCUGCCAGUGCAGGGAUCUCAUGGGCGGGAGCAUUGUGAACUCCAGGAAGCAGUUGGCUGUUCCUGGGCCAGUCUGCAGAGCUGGAGGGCCAGGCUGCCUCACACAUGCUGGGUGGAGCAAGGAGCUGAGAACCCUACUUUCCCAGAGCCCAGCAGCUCUGGGCCAGGCCCACAGGCUUUCUUGGGCAAUGAGGGCCUGAGCCUUGGCCACGCCUUCCCUUGUUGGCCUUGGCUCUCUCUUUCUCAGUCUGGCUCUCCCCCUGCCCCCCUACCAGCUAUUUUGCAGCAGACUGCACACUCUUGGCAAUGACAUCCUUUUAACCUGCUUCCCAGAAAACAGGAUGGUUGGGCAGGCAGACUCAGCCAGCACGUUGGUGGGAAACAGGGCAGUCGACCUCAGCUCAGGCUUUCUUUGCCCAUGCUCCUUGGGGGACCGGGUUGGGAGGUGGCCCUAAGCUGCCUUGGCUUACCUGGGUCAGAAAUAACCUCAGCUCAACUUACAGCCUAGAGCAGUCAGGCUGAGGCCAGAGCUCUGAGCUUCUGGAGUUGGGGUGUGGGGAGGGACAGGGCUUUGCCCAGGAGUCUGGUCAGGGGCAACCACGUAGCUGGGGGCCUUGAGUAAAUGCCCCCCACCUUGGAGUCUUGCCUCAUUUGUCCGAUGGGCAUAAUAGUGCCCUUUAGAAAUGUGUCUGAAUGUAAGGCUUCUGAAUACAAAUACGAAGCCGUUGCUCCCUUCGUGCCCCUUUGAGGAGGACAUUUCAACAGAGAAUCCUGGGAGGUGUCUGGCAUGGAGAAGAUGCUCACUUAAUGUAGUUGCACUGCUGAGGAAGUGAGGUUUGGGUCUCAGUAUGUUGGAUGGUGCCUUCCAUCCUUAUCUCUACAAAGAUGACCUUCCCUUCCUCUUCCUUUCUGGCCCUCCUGCCCUGGCGGGACCCUGUAGGGAUGGUGCCUCUGGCUUCCAAUGCUGCAUUCCUCUUGGGUUGGGCCCGCCGAGACCCAUAGCCCAUGGAGGCCUCCUUCCCCUCCUUGACGUUCGUCCUGCAAGUCCGGACGCCAGCUCCAAGGCGUUCCCUCUGGGCCUGGGCCAGAGUAGCUGUAGCAGAGCUCCUCCCUCCCCCACCAGCCUCCUUGGGUGCAGACAGCCUAGCACAGGCAGGAAGGGCCUUCUGUUUGCCUUGGCUGGUGGGGAAGAGAUUAGUGCUCGCUUUCUGUUUUGACUUUGUAUCUAACUCACAGACAGACCUGUGACGUCACAAAAAAGCGCACUUCAGCCUUCAAUGAGUUUAGGUGUUCCUAAUACCUGGCCACUCUAGAGAUGGUUGGAGGAUAAUACCACCCUCUGGGUGUGUAGAGAAAUGUGAUGGCCACUUGUCAGCUUUCCCUACCCAGCAUCCACAGCCCUUUCUCCUGAUAACGUCUCUUCUCCUUCAGAGGAUCACCUCUCCGCCACCCUCACAUUAGAGGCAAACAUGGAUCAGGAUGGACAUGAAGACUCCCCCUUAGGGGUUUUGCAGCAACUACAGGGAAAGAGGCAUUUGUUUUUCAUGGAAUUUGCCAGGUUGAUGGAGCUGCUGGUGGCCAUCCUGUUCUCCACUUGAGGUCGAAGCCAACAAAGGAAAGAGCUCAGAAAUGGAGAGAAUAUCCUAUCCAGACAUCAGUAAGCCCCUGGAUCCAGCCAUUCCUGAAGCUAAUGUAGCCAUUGAUUCACCUGAUUAUAUGAGCCAAAGCAUUUCUUUUUUGCUAAAAUUAUCCUGAGUUGGGUUUCUGUCAUAGAGAGGGUCCUAAUAAAGCAAUAUUUUUCUUUGGUCUUAUUUAAAAAAAAAUCAUUUCUGAGGUAUACUUUACACUUUACAUGCAAUAAAAUCUACCCAUUUUAAGUGCCCAAGUCAAGUUUUAUCUACCACCAUUGAGAUAUAGAACAUUUCAAGCUCCAGGACAACCACUGACCUGCUUUUGUUGUAGAGGUUAAUUUUGCCUUUUCUAGAAUUUCAUAUAAGUAUUAUCAUUUAGCAUAUACUCUUUUGUGUCUGGCUUUAUUCAGUAUGUCUUUGAGAUUCACCCAUGCCGUGUGCCUCAGUAGUUCAUGCCUUACUACUGAGAAGCAUUCCACUGUAUGGAUGUACCACUGUUUGCUCAGCCAUAUAUAAGAGGGUGGUCAUUUAGGCUAUAUCUGGAUUGUGACUGUUACAAAUAAAGCUGCUUUGAACAUGA